GACGAACGCUGGCGGCGUGCUUAACACAUGCAAGUCGAACGGUGAAGGGACCAGCUUGCUGGUUCUGGAUGAGUGGCGAACGGGUGAGUAACACGUGAGUAACCUGCCCCCUUCUUCUGGAUAACCGCAUGAAAGUGUGGCUAAUACGGGAUAUUCUGGGUCUGUCGCAUGGCGGGCCCGGGAAAGAUAUUGCUUCGGUGGGGGAUGGGCUCGCGGCCUAUCAGCUUGUUGGUGGGGUGAUGGCCUACCAAGGCGGUGACGGGUAGCCGGCCUGAGAGGGUGGACGGUCACACUGGGACUGAGACACGGCCCAGACUCCUACGGGAGGCAGCAGUGGGGAAUAGUGCACAAGGGGCGCAAGCCUGAUGCAGCGACGCCGCGUGAGGGAUGGAGGCCUUCGGGGUGUAAACCUCUUUCGCCAGUGAAGCAGGCCUGCUCCUUGUGGGUGGGUUGACGGUAGCUGGAUAAGAAGCGCCGGCUAACUACGUG
rnacentral:rRNA from 1 species